GUAAAUGUGAUGAGGGAGAAUGUUGCAAUCCUAUGAUCGUUUCAGAGAGCCGGUGGUUGGUGUGAACCGGUAGCGAGGGGAAUGUAAAAAUCACUCCUGAACAGCAAAGCUGAAAUGUAAAAGUAAGCUGCGCCGGUUUCAGCUCCUUAAUGGAGUGCAACCGUUAUCUUGCUAGGGUUGUUAGACCUGAUGAGAGGUAGACCAAUUGGUCUAUGAAAAAGGGUGGUAUCGCGAGAAAUUUCUCUUGCCCCUUUG
rnacentral:ncRNA from 1 species